GGCGAGCGGCCACUAAAGCCGGGAGAGCGGGCGGUGGGUCAGUCAGUCGGGGCCGGUCGCUGAGGAGCGGGGUAUCUGGCCGCGGCUCAAGCCUGGAUAUUGUCCAGGUCUUUCUGCAUUUGGACAUGGACUGCUUCUGUAUCUGAGGAGUUGCAAAAGUGCAAUCAUCAGCUAAAAUCCUCAUUCCUGACCUUAGGAUGGAGGGAGUCAUUGAUGAAGCAGCUGAAGAUAGCUGGACAUAGGACACUACCCUGAGGGACUCCUGCAGAGAUGUCCUGGAGCUGAGAUGACUGCAACCACCACAACUAUCUUCCUAUAUGCCAAAUAUGAUUCCAGUCAGCAGAGAAUUUUACCCUUGGUUCCCAUAGACUUCAGCUUUGCUAGGGCUCCCUGAUGCCACAUCUCACCUCUGGAAUUCAGCUCUUAUGUCCAUGUUUGUAUCAAGGUUGUAAUAAGGUCAGGAGCAUCACUGAGAAGGUGCUGCUUGAUAAUACUGUUGAUGGACACCUACCAUCAUUUCAUUGAUGUUUGAGAGUAGACUGAUUUGGCUGAGUUGGAUUUGUUCUGCUUUUUGUGUUAUCCUCUAAUAAGAUCUAAAGGUGUGCCUGAGAUCGAAUGGAACCAGGGAAUAGGUAAUAAAUGUAUUAAUUGAACUAAUUGGUUUUGAAUUAUUUGUAUAAAUAAGGGUGCUAAUAAUUAGUUGAAUGAGAGUUUUAUGAAAUGUUGCCAAGCGAAGUAAGGCUGUUACUAAACGUGUGGAUUGGACCGUUUAAAACUUAUAUCUACUGAUGGUGUAUCAUACAGGAAAUAAAUGGGCAAUUGUCUACAUUGUUUCAUCAAUGCUAGUGUUGUAGCUGUACUGGAACAGUUUGGCUAAGGGUAUGGCAAAUUAUGGAGCACAAGGUGUUAACCUGGUGAAGCUACAAAUAAUAUAAGCAGCAGUUGCCAUGUAACCGACAGGUCUAUUCUCUGCAGUCCUGCCACAUCCGAUCAUAAAUGAUGGUGGAUAAUUAAAUAAAUUCUGGAGGAGAAGGCUCCACAAAUAUCCCCAUUCAUUAAUGGGAGAGCCCAGCCCAUCAGUGCAAAAGAUAAGGCUGAAUCAUUUGCAACAACUUUCAGCCAGAAGUGCUGAGCGGAUGAUCCAUCUCAGACUUCUCCAGUGGGUCCCCAGAAUCACAGAUACCAGUCUUCAGCAACUUAAUUCACUCCAUGUGAUAUUACGAAACAAUUGGGAGCAUUGGAUACUGCAAAGGCUUUGGGCCCUGACAACUUUCUGGCAAAAUUACUGAACACUUGUUCUCCAAAACCUGCUCUGUCUCCCCUGACCAUGCUGUUCCAGUCCAGUUCCAACUCUUGCAUCCACCCAAAAUGUGGAAAAGGCUGAAGCAUGUCCUGUACACAAAAACAGGACAAAUCCAACCCGGCCAAUUAUCAGUCUAUUCUCAUUGAUUAUUUUUAUUCAAAUGCCAAUAUCUGUAAUCUUUUGAUUUUAUAUUCUAUUUUUAAUUAAUUCAAUUUUCCUAAAUA